rnacentral:rRNA from 1 species
GACGAACGCUGGCGGCGCGCUUAACACAUGCAAGUCGAACGGAAAGGCCUUCUUUCCCUUGUGGUUUGCGGGUACUCUAGUGGCGAACGGGUGAGUACCACGUGAGUUAUCUGCCCCCAACUUGGGUAUAAGCCUGGGUAACUGUGUCUAAUUCCCGAUACGACUUCAGGGUGGUUCCUUUGGUUGAAAACGAUUUUCUUGUGGUUGGGGAUAGGGUCGCGGCCUAUCAGCUUGUUGGUGGGGUACUGGCCUACCAAGGCGGGGACGGGUAGCCGGACUGAGAGGGUGGACAGCGAAAUUGGGACAGGGAGACGGCCCAGACGCGAACGGGAGGAAGGAGAGGGGAGAAAAGGAGAAUGGGGGGAAGCCAGAAGAAGCGACGGGGCGAGGGGGAUGACGGGCUUCGGGUGGUAAACUCCUGUCGACGAAGAGGAAGCAACCAGGAUGGAAGGGUGGUGACGGUAGUGGUAGAAGAAGCACCGGCUAACUACGUG